GACGAACGCUGGCGGCGUGCUUAACACAUGCAAGUCGAACGAAGAGCGAUGGAAGCUUGCUUCUAUCAAUCUUAGUGGCGAACGGGUGAGUAACGCGUAAUCAACCUGCCCUUCAGAGGGGGACAACAGUUGGAAACGACUGCUAAUACCGCAUACGAUCCAAUCUCGGCAUCGGGACUGGAUGAAAGGUGGCCUCUAUUUAUAAGCUAUCACUGAAGGAGGGGAUUGCGUCUGAUUAGCUAGUUGGAGGGGUAACGGCCCACCAAGGCGAUGAUCAGUAGCCGGUCUGAGAGGAUGAACGGCCACAUUGGGACUGAGACACGGCCCAGACUCCUACGGGAGGCAGCAGUGGGGAAUCUUCCGCAAUGGACGAAAGUCUGACGGAGCAACGCCGCGUGAGUGAUGACGGCCUUCGGGUUGUAAAGCUCUGUUAAUCGGGACGAAUGGUUCUUGUGCGAAUAGUGCGAGGAUUUGACGGUACCGGAAAAGAAAGCCACGGCUAACUACGUG
rnacentral:rRNA from 1 species